rnacentral:rRNA from 1 species
UACGUAGGGUGCAGGCGUUAAUCGGAAUUACUGGGCGUAAAGCGUGCGCAGGCGGUUUGCUAAGACAGGUGUGAAAUCCCCGGGCUUAACCUGGGAACUGCGCUUGUAACUGGCAAGCUAGAGUGUGGCAGAGGGGGGUGGAAUUCCACGUGUAGCAGUGAAAUGCGCAGAUAUCAGGAGGAACACCGGAGGCGAAGGCG